rnacentral:rRNA from 1 species
GCGGCCUAUCAGCUUGUUGGCGGGGUAACGGCCCACCAAGGCUUCGACGGGUAGCUGGUCUGAGAGGAUGAUCAGCCACACUGGGACUGAGACACGGCCCAGACUCCUACGGGAGGCAGCAGUGGGGAAUCUUGCUCAAUGGGCGAAAGCCUGAAGCAGCAACGCCGCGUGCGGGAUGAAGGCCCUCGGGUCGUAAACCGCUUUCAGUAGGAACGAAAAUGACGGUACCUACAGAAGAAGGUCCGGCUAACUACGUGCCAGCAGCCGCGGUAACACGUAGGGACCGAGCGUUGUCCGGAUUUAUUGGGCGUAAAGAGCUCGUAGGCUGUUCAGUAAGUCAGAUGUGAAAACUCUGGGCUUAACCCAGAGCCUGCAUUUGAUACUGCUGUGACUUGAGUUCGGUAGGGGAGACUGGAAUUCCU